rnacentral:tRNA from 1 species
GGAAUUUAGGUUAGACCAUUAUAAACCGGGAGCCUUCANCGCUUCAAAUAAGAACUAGAAGUCUCUUAAUUCCUGAAAACCC